CAGGAGGUAACAGUUGAAAUGUGGAGGUGAUGGCUAAAAGAGCUUACAGGGAGAAGCAGCUAUUGGUAAAAUACAAAGGGAAUGAAGAGGUAAUUGAGAAUUAAAGGGAAAAUAUUCAUUUGCAAUAUACUAAAAUACUGUAGAAAAACUGGUCUGAUGGGUGAAUAUGAAAAUAAUAGGAGUAUAUCCGUUUCAUCCUCUGAGGAGAUCUUCACAUGCAAUGACCACAAAGAGAGCAUGGAAAAUGGAUCCCACAGACAUCAUACAAAAUGGGAAACAACAC